rnacentral:rRNA from 1 species
AGUGGCGGACGGGUGAGUAACACGUGGGAAUCUACCUAUCAGUAUGGGAUAACUGCGGGAAACUGCAGCUAAUACCGUAUACGCCCUUCGGGGGAAAGAUUUAUCGCUGAUAGAUGAGCCCGCGCUCGAUUAGUUUGUUGGUGAGGUAACGGCUCACCAAGACUACGAUCGAUAGCUGGUCUGAGAGGACGAUCAGCCACACUGGGACUGAGACACGGCCCAGACUCCUACGGGAGGCAGCAGUGGGGAAUAUUGGACAAUGGGGGCAACCCUGAUCCAGCCAUGCCGCGUGAGUGAAGAAGGCUUUAGGGUUGUAAAACUCUUUCACCGGGGACGAUGAUGACGGUACCCGGAGAAGAAGCCCCGGCUAACUCCGUGCCAGCAGCCGCGGUAAUACGGAGGGGGCUAGCGUUGUUCGGAAUUACUGGGCGUAAAGCGCGCGUAGGCGGUUUGCACAGUCAGGCGUGAAAUCCCGGGGCUCAACCCCGGAACUGCGUUUGAUACUGGUGAACUAGAGGACGGGAGAGGGUAGUGGAAUUCCCAGUGUAGAGGUGAAAUUCGUAGAUAUUGGGAAGAACACCGGUGGCGAAGGCGGCUACCUGGACCGUCCCUGACGCUGAGGUGCGAAAGCGUGGGGAGCAACAGGAUUAGAUACCCUGGUAGUUCACGUCGU